rnacentral:rRNA from 1 species
UACGUAGGUGGCGAGCGUUGUCCGGAAUUACUGGGCGUAAAGGGUGCGUAGGCGGCUCCUUAAGUGAGGUGUGAAAUCCCUGGGCUCAACCCAGGAACUGCACUUCAAACUGGGGAGCUAGAGUGCAGGAGAGGAAAGCGGAAUUCCCGGUGUAGCGGUGAAAUGCGUAGAGAUCGGGAGGAACACCAGUGGCGAAGGCGGCUUUCUGGACUGUAACUGACGCUGAGGCACGAAAGCGUGGGGAGCAAAC